CUCAGCUACGGGGACAUGGUGCCCAAGACGAUCGCUGGGAAGAUCUUCGGGUCCAUCUGCUCCCUGAGCGGCGUCCUGGUCAUCGCCCUGCCGGUGCCCGUGAUCGUCUCCAAC
rfam:Myotis lucifugus cont2.24721, whole genome shotgun sequence.